rnacentral:lncRNA from 1 species
AAGGACUAAGACAAGGCCUAUAUGAGACACCUUCGUGGGAACUCGGUUGAGAAUCUCUAAGACUGAAAAUGAGGAGUCAGUCAUCUUGAUUUGUCUAAAAUCUCCUGACUUGUAUCUCUGCGGCAGUCUCCUCACACAAACUCCAUCACUCCUACAUACUGGUGAUUCAUAAAGCAGAAGCAAUCAAGUCACUACCUACUCAGGAGGCUGCUAGCAUCUUAGCCCAGGAAUCAAGGCUUUUAAAAUACAGCCAAAUCACAUCUCCAGUAAUCGUUACAACAGUUAUAGCAAUUGCUUACACAAUGUUCCUAUUUAUUAUGUGCAAGACACCAUUCCAAUAAUUUUGCAUAUAUUAUCUCAUUUAAUCCUAACAACAAUGACAACAAAAACUCAUGAGGAAGGUACUAUUAGGACAUCAAUU